rnacentral:rRNA from 1 species
UACAGAGACUGCAAGCGUUAUUCGGAUUCACUGGGCGUAAAGGGUGCGCAGGCGGCCAAGUGUGUGAGGCGUGAAAGCCCGGGGCUUAACCCCGGAAUUGCACCUCAAACUACAUGGCUAGAGCAUUGGAGAGGGUAGCAGAAUUCACGGUGUAGCAGUGAGAUGCGUAGAUAUCGUGAGGAAUACCAGAGGCGAAGGCGGCUACCUGGACAAUUGCUGACGCUCAGGCACGAAAGCGUGGGGAGCAAAAGGG